rnacentral:lncRNA from 13 species
AUGCCGGGCUCAGGCAGAGCUCGGAGGCCCCUCCCGGCCCCACCCCGCGCCUCGGCCCCCUCGGCCCCGACCCGGUCCUGCCCCCGAUCCCGUCCGCGGGAGCCCUCGCCGCACCCCAGCCCGGUCCUCCGCCGCCUGCCCCAGUUCAGCCUCGACCUCCCCGAUCCCCGCGCCCCCCGCCCCCCGCACCCAGCCCUGUCCCAGCACCGCCCGUUAGCGGAUCCCACCGGCCGCCCCAGCCCGCCCUCUCCCUCCGCGCGCGUCCCCCGCCGCGUCCCCCCCAUGGCGUCCCCCCCCGCGUCCUCCCGCGCGUCCCUCCCCCCCGCGUGUCCCUCGGCCGCCCCGCGCGCGCCGGCGGAACUGUGGGAUCGCCGCGCACAGGAAGUGGCGGCGGCGGCACGGCCGAGGGCGGAGGGCGGAGGGCGGCGGGAUGGGGGCCGGGGGCGGCGGGCGCCGCACUCGCUGAGGCCCCGACGCAGGGCCGGGCCGGGCCCAGGGCCCAGGAGCGCAGCGGCCGGAGCGGGGCCGCGGAGGCGACGCCGGGGACGCCCGCGCGAGGAGCAGGUGGCGGCUGCCGCAGGACGGCCGUCCUGAGCGAGGGGCCGUGCACCCGCUCCUGAGCAGCGCCAUGGGCCUGCUGGCCUUCCUGAAGACCCAGUUCGUGCUGCACCUGCUGGUCGGCUUCGUCUUCGUGGUGAGCGGUCUGGUCAUCAACUUCGUCCAGCUGUGCACGCUGGCGCUCUGGCCGGUCAGCAAGCAGCUCUACCGCCGCCUCAACUGCCGCCUCGCCUACUCACUCUGGAGCCGUGAGUGUCUGCGGCCGGUCCCUGCCGCCCGGGGCUCCCAUGGGAGUGGGGCGGGACCAUGGACGGGGUGGACAUGGGCCCUCGGGCGGAGCCUGAAGCGAGGGCUGAGCGGAGGUGCUGGGGCUACCUCCCUCGCGGGCUGUGGGGAGGCACCCGGCCACCACGUUUUCUUAGCCUGAGCCGUGUGACGUGCCAGUGUGACCAUUCUGGCCCACAGCAAUGGCAGCUUCCCACGGUUACCAGGGCAUGUGGGAAUCUCUAAACAAACAAAAGUAAAGAGAAUGCUGAGCUCUGUUCAGCUGUUACCGAGCUCCAGCGACUGCCCACACGGCCAUCUGUGCAUCGUCUCACCCCGACGCCAGGGCAUGCUGAAGCGCAUUUCAGCAUUCCUAAAAGCAAAGGGCUCCUGCAGCUGUGUGUCUGUCUGUGCCUCCGUGUGUGUGUGUGCCUACACCCAGAGAAACCAGUUUUCACCUGUCAUACAGACAGCGACGAAGAAGCUUGGUAACAACACCCACCCCACGUGGACAGGUAACUCUCACGCCGGGCAUGGCAGGGGCGGGAACAGGCACAUCUCCGGAGGCUGGCUUGGCAGUCGCUGUCAACAGCUGGAGUGGUUGCAGUCUUCAGCUCAGUAAUUCCACAGAAGGACAUGCAGCCACAGAGACAUGUGCACAGAUACACAGCUGGACAGGUGUUCUCAUGAUUGUGUCACUUCAUACUAGCACAGAGCUAACAGCACCCUAAGCGCCUGUCACUGAAGACUCACUGUGCCACGCCCUACAGGGACUCUCUGCGGCCAUCCCCAAGAGCCUUCGGCUUCCACAGACAGUUUUAAACGAAAAAGAAAGGCUAUGACAAAGUGCCUAGGAUGCGAGAUUCAUUUUGUUUCUUGAGGAAGGAGCUGUGUGUGUGGUGUGUACACAUGUAGGAAAAUCCCAGAAGGAACCGGGCGCGGUGGCUCACGCCUGUGAAUCCCAGCCCCUUGGGAGGCCGAGGUGGGUGGAUUACCCGAGGUCAGGAGUUCAAGACCAGCCUGGGCAACAGGGUGAAACCCUGUCUCUAUUAAAAAUACAAAAAAUUAGCCGGGCGUGGUGGUGCGUGCCUGCAGUCCCAGCUACUCGGGAGGCUGAGGCAGAACUGCUUGAACCUGGGAGUGGAAGUUGCCGAGGUCACAUCACUGCACUCCAGCCUGGGCGACACAGCGAGACUGUCUAAAAAGAAAAAUCCCAGAAGGAUGGCUGAGAACGCUGCGCGGCGCUGAUCUCCAGGGCGUGGGGCAAGGGGGGUUGUACACGUUAUUUCACGCUCCUGCUGUUGCCGCGUUUUCACACGAGCACACGUGCCCUUUGUCUCACAUGGGAAACAGUGGGCCUGUAGCCCUUGUCUCCAUGUCCUUCCAACUCAGGAGCAGGUAGCACUGCUGAAAAGGCCAUUUAUGUCCCAGCUAACUCUGUGCCUGCGACACCCACUGCCUGCAGAGAGACUGGUAACCCGGCCUCUAGGCCAGCUUGUCUUAAAUGUGUUACAGCUUCAGUUCCUGGUUUGUUUUUUAAAUAAAAGGCUGCUGCUUUGUUUGUGGGAAGGGAGA